UACAGAGGGUGCAAGCGUUGUUCGGAAUUAUUGGGCGUAAAGGGCUCGUAGGCGGUUUGUUGCGUCGGCUGUGAAAUCCCGAGGCUCAACCUCGGGUCUGCAGUCGAUACGAGCAAACUAGAGUGUUGCAGGGGAGACUGGAAUUCCUGGUGUAGCGGUGAAAUGCGCAGAUAUCAGGAGGAACACCGGUGGCGAAGGCGGGUCUCUGGGCAACAACUGACGCUGAGGAGCGAAAGCGUGGGGAGCGAACAGG
rnacentral:rRNA from 1 species